rnacentral:rRNA from 1 species
UACGUAGGGGGCAAGCGUUGUCCGGAUUUAUUGGGCGUAAAGAGCGUGUAGGCGGCCAGGUAGGUCUGCUGUGAAAACUCGAGGCUUAACCUCGAGAUGUCGGCGGAAACCAUCUGGCUAGAGUCCGGAAGAGGAGAGCGGAAUUCCUGGUGUAGCGGUGAAAUGCGCAGAUAUCAGGAAGAACACCGAUGGCGAAGGCAGCUCUCUGGGACGGUACUGACGCUGAGACGCGAAAGCGUGGGGAGCGAACAGG